rnacentral:rRNA from 1 species
UACAGAGGUCCCAAGCGUUGUUCGGAUUCACUGGGCGUAAAGCGUGCGCAGGCGGUUCGCUAAGACAGAUGUGAAAUCCCCGGGCUUAACCUGGGAACUGCAUUUGUGACUGGCGGGCUAGAGUAUGGCAGAGGGGGGUAGAAUUCCACGUGUAGCAGUGAAAUGCGUAGAGAUGUGGAGGAAUACCGAUGGCGAAGGCAGCCCCUGGCCAAUACUGACGCUCAUGCACGAAAGCGUGGGGAGCAAACAGG